AGCGCUUUUCAAAAGCGCUCUGGUAGGGGUGUUUAAUGAGAGCGCUUUUUGUCAAAAGCGCUGGUAUAGACCAGGCUAUGAGAGCGCUUUUCAGAAGCGCUUUAGUAGCCUUUAUUACUAAAAAUUAAAAACCAAAACACGCGUUACUGUUUCUCAUUUCUCUCUUUCGUUUUCUGCAGAACCCUUCCGUCCACCACUGUUCUUCAUCCACAAACCCUCACUGCACGCGAAACCCUUCCGUCCACCACCAUCGGCAACCACCGUCGGCGUCCCUCCGUCGGCUUCUCCUCCGUCACUCGUUUUAUCCACCGCCGGUCUGACUGGAUUGAUAACUUUGGAUCUCUUUGGAGCUCGUAUCAUUGACUCUGGUACUACAUAUUUAGGAGGGUAACUUGUGUAUAGUGAAAGUUUGAUCGUUUCCCAGCCUAGUUCGACGUUUGGCGUUUUCUUGAGUUCGGUAACAUCCGAGGUAAAUUUCUUUCUCAAAUUACUG